rnacentral:rRNA from 1 species
GAUGAACGCUGGCGGCGUGCCUAAUACAUGCAAGUCGAGCGAACAGACGAGGAGCUUGCUCCUCUUACGUUAGCUGCGGACGGGUGAGUAACACGUGGAUAACCUACCUAUAAGACUGGGAUAACUUCGGGAAACCGGAGCUAAUACCGGAUAAUAUAUUUAACCGCAUGGUUCAAUAUUGAAAGACGGUUUUGCUGUCACUUAUAGAUGGAUCCGCGCCGCAUUAGCUAGUUGGUAAGGUAACGGCUUACCAAGGCAACGAUGCGUAGCCGACCUGAGAGGGUGAUCGGCCACACUGGAACUGAGACACGGUCCAGACUCCUACGGGAGGCAGCAGUAGGGAAUCUUCCGCAAUGGGCGAAAGCCUGACGGAGCAACGCCGCGGGAGUGAUGAAGGUCUUCGGAUCGUAAGACUCUGUUAUUAGGGAAGAACAAAUGUGUAAGUAACUAUGCACGUCGUGACGGUACCUAAUCAGAAAGCCACGGCUAACUACGUG